rnacentral:SRP_RNA from 1 species
GCCGGGCAUGGUGAUGCAUGCCUGUAUUCCCAGCUACUUUGGAGGCUGAGAUGGGAAGAUCACUUGAGCCCGGGAGGUCAAGGCUGCAGUGAGCUGAGUUCAUGCCACUGCACUCCAGCCUGGUUGACAGAGUGAGACCCUGUCUCAA